AUUGAACGCUGGCGGCAUGCUUUACACAUGCAAGUCGAACGGUAACAGGCCUUCGGGUGCUGACGAGUGGCGAACGGGUGAGUAAUGCAUCGGAACGUACCCAGAGGUGGGGGAUAACGCAGCGAAAGCUGUGCUAAUACCGCAUGUGAUCUGAGGAUGAAAGCGGGGGACCGAGCAGCAAUGUUUGGCCUCGCGCCUUUGGAGCGGCCGAUGUCGGAUUAGCUAGUUGGUGGGGUAAAGGCCUACCAAGGCGACGAUCCGUAGCUGGUCUGAGAGGACGACCAGCCACACGGGGACUGAGACACGGCCCAGACUCCUACGGGAGGCAGCAGUGGGGAAUUUUGGACAAUGGGCGCAAGCCUGAUCCAGCAAUGCCGCGUGCGGGAAGAAGGCCUUCGGGUUGUAAACCGCUUUUGGCAGGAACGAAACGGUGUCCGCUAAUACCGGGCGCUAAUGACGGUACCUGCAGAAUAAGCACCGGCUAACUACGU
rnacentral:rRNA from 1 species